rnacentral:rRNA from 1 species
GAUGGAUGGUGUGGUGAGAGUGGUCGAUUGGCGUGUAUGGUUGGUGGGGAGAGAGGCUUCGGUUUCUCUUCCCCUCCUUCCUGUUUUUGCUGAUGUGUACCGUUUCUUGCCUACCAAUACAAUUCAUUUUUCUGUUUGUUUUCUCUCUGUUGCUGCUCAUUUAUGGGCGGUGGCAAGGGAAACAACCGAGAAAUGCGUUUACUUUGAAAAAAUUAGAGUGUUCAAAGCAGGCACUUCAAAAGAUGCCAUUGAAUAGCAUUAGCAUGGAAUAAAAAGAUAGGACUUGCACGCGUACAUCUGUUGGCUAUCAGGAAAUCUGAACGCGUGCAAGUAAUGAUUGAUAGGGACAGUUGGGGGUGCUAGUAUUUGACGGCCAGAGGUGAAAUUCUUGGAUUCGUUAAAGACUAACAAAUGCGAAAGCAUU